rnacentral:rRNA from 1 species
ACCGUCGUGAGACAGGUUAGUUUUACCCUACUGAUGAAACUGUCGUCGCAAUAGUAAUGCAACUUAGUACGAGAGGAACCGUUGUUUCACAUAAUUGGUAUUUUCGGUUAGCUGAAAAGCUAGUGCCGAGAAGCUACCAUGUGCAGGAUUAUGACUGAACGCCUCUAAGUCAGAAUCCGUGCUAGAAAGCGACGAUGCCUCCUCUCCCCCCGGUGUGACGCGAGUACGCGUAGGGGCUUCGGCCUCCAGUACCGUAAAGUUGCGGAGAAGCAGCCGCUGGCAAGACGUGCCGGUCGGUGGACUCUCCGAAUCCCACUGCGAAUGCCGGGGGGGACGAAUCCUCUGCAGACGACUUUGACAGGAACAAGGUAUUGUAAGUAGUAGA